GAUGAACGCUAGCGGCAGGCUUAAUACAUGCAAGUCGAACGGGAUUCAGGGUAGCAAUACUUUGAUGAGAGUGGCGCACGGGUGCGUAACGCGUAUGCAACCUACCUUUAACAGGGGAAUAGCCCCGAGAAAUCGGGAUUAAUACUCCGUAACAUUGCGGGAUGGCAUCAUUCUGCAAUUAAAGAUUUAUCGGUUAAAGAUGGGCAUGCGUGACAUUAGCUUGUUGGUGAGGUAACGGCUCACCAAGGCAACGAUGUCUAGGGGUCCUGAGAGGGUUAUCCCCCACACUGGUACUGAGACACGGACCAGACUCCUACGGGAGGCAGCAGUAAGGAAUAUUGGUCAAUGGGCGCAAGCCUGAACCAGCCCAUGCCGCGUGCAGGAAGACGGCCCUAUGGGUUGUAAACUGCUUUUGUCAGGGAUAAACCUGUCUACGUGUAGACAGCUGAAGGUACCUGAAGAAUAAGCAAUCGGCUAACUCCGUGCCAGCAGCCGCGGUAA
rnacentral:rRNA from 1 species